CGACCUCGGGCUGUACGGGAUUA
rnacentral:rRNA from 2 species